GCCCGGUCUGCGAUCUGCCUUCUUUCCUCCGCUCUCCUCCAGGAGGCUACAGCCCGAAGCGCCCGCAGUGCCCAGGGAGUACCUGGCUUCCGUGCCCGCCAGUCUCAGCCUCCUCCCGGGGUAGCUCGGGGACUGGAGGCUGCAGGAAGGGGACCAGUUUUUACUCUGGUCAGCCUGGUUGUUUCUCCAUUUCUGACGUUCCCCGAAGGAGACGCUGAGGAUUGGUUGACAAAUCAGAUGUGUGGUGCACGGACGUUUCCAGCAAGGUCAACUGGAAGACUCAUGUCCAGAGUGGAGACAGCUUGCCCCAACAGGCAGAGGUGAAGCUGGCUCCGGAGACGCAUCGGGCAGAGGGUGGUGGCGCCAAGCUUGGUGGAGCCCAGUUAAAUCUGGCACAUCUGUCCCAGGCCUCCUGAUGGUUGGAAGGUAAGGCUCCCACCAUCCUGUUAUGUGGCUUAGAAAGGGAAGCAGCUUGGCCAAAGUCACACAGU
rnacentral:lncRNA from 1 species